UUGCCAUGUCCUCCAAACAGACCCUUCCGCUGCAGGAAUGACAGAGUUUGUCUGCGGACCGAACAAAUCUGCAACGGAGCGAACGACUGUGGCGACAAUACAGACGAAGACGACUGUGCGGAUGUGGUCAAAAGGCCGAGGCCGUGCGGGAAGAGCGAAUUCUCCUGUGCCAAUCACCGCUGCAUCCCAGCCGAGCUCCAGUGCGACUUCUUCGACGAUUGUGAAGACGGCGGAUCGGAUGAGCGCGACUGUAAGGCAUAUUCUGUCGAUGGUGCGUGUCGAGGACGGGCCGACUUGUGCGGAGAUGACGCUUUCU